CCCACAGCGAUUGCUCCAUUCCUUACGCCCUCCUCUAAGGAAUCUGAGCUUCUUGUCUUGUUCCACCUAAAGCGUGACCACACUGAGGUGUUUUGAGACAACAACAAAGCUGGUUCCCACCUCUCUGGCUAUGACUUCCUGGGUGACUGCUUGGAGGAAAAGAGGACCACAAGGAGACUGGUGCACAGAAUUCAUGAGCCUGACUGGUACCAACAUCUGAGCGCUCAAAGGUGGCAUUCCAGAGUCAGAGCUGAACCACACAGAAAGCAGACUUGGAAAUUUCACUUACUGAAGGGUCACCAUCAUCUUUUUCUUCAUGGACUGAAUUAUUUCAAGGAUCUUCAUAUCUG
rnacentral:lncRNA from 1 species